rnacentral:rRNA from 1 species
UACCAGCACCCCGAGUGGUCGGGACGAUUAUUGGGCCUAAAGCAUCCGUAGCCGGUUUUACAAGUCCUCCGUUAAAUCCAGCUGCUUAACAGAUGGGCUGCGGAGGAUACUAUAAGACUAGGAGGCAGGAGAGGCAAGUGGUACUCAGUGGGUAGGGGUAAAAUCCGUUGAUCCAUUGAAGACCACCAGUGGCGAAGGCGGCUUGCCAGAAUGCGCUCGACGGUGAGGGAUGAAAGCUGGGGGAGCAAACCGG